rnacentral:rRNA from 1 species
AUACGUAGGGUGCGAGCGUUGUCCGGAAUUACUGGGCGUAAAGAGCUCGUUGGUGGUUUGUCGCGUCGUCUGUGAAAUUCCGGGGCUUAACUCCGGGCGUGCAGGCGAUACGGGCAUAACUUGAGUACUGUAGGGGAGACUGGAAUUCCUGGUGUAGCGGUGAAAUGCGCAGAUAUCAGGAGGAACACCGGUGGCGAAGGCGGGUCUCUGGGCAGUAACUGACGCUGAGGGGCGAAAGCAUGGGUAGCGAACAGGAUUAGAUACCCUGGUAGUCCAUGCCGUAAACGGUGGGCGCUAGGUGUAGGGGUCUUCCACGACUUCUGUGCCGUAGCUAACGCAUUAAGCGCCCCGCCUGGGGAGUACGGCCGCAAGGCUAAAACUCAAAGGAAUUGACGGGG